UCUCUCUCUCUCUUUCUCUUUCUUUCUAAUUUUCUUCUUAUGGACGUAACACGACCACAUGUUACAUUACUCACAUUACCUUCCUACCGUAUACAGUAAAUGACUAGUGAGCUCGUUGUGUUCGAAAUCAAAGGAGUGGGGAGAAUAGAUCGUCGUUGUACACAGCGAAGAGAGGUAAAGGAGUUCGAAAGAAAGGGAAAGUUCAGAGUGAGAGAACACCGGUUGGUUAGAUCUUCGUGUUCAGUACGCGGAAAGCGAGUGGCGAGUGGUUCACUCGGUAUACACGCACGUUUCGGAGAUAAUCUGUCUCUCAUACGAGAUUCUUUCUUCUUUUUCUUCUUUUUCCAUUUUUUUCGCUUUUUUCUUCUUUUUGAUUUCUUUGGAACGAACAUAUAUUCCUUAAAAUAUAUAUAUAUAUACACAUAUAUAUGUAUAUGUGUGUGUGUGUGUAUAUAUAUAUGGGACGACAUGAAGAACUCGGUCGGUAUCGUUUGAAAAAGUUUCUUUGUUCUCGCAGAUGAUUGGAAUGAUCCAAAGGAAAUUUUAAGAAUGAGUUGAUUCAUCUUUGACCUCUCAAUGACCUCAGUCCUCUUGGUUGUCAUGCGCGCCCUCUAUCGAGUUUCAUUGGAUAGAGACAACAUACGAUAACAACAAGAAGGAAGAGGAGAUAGUAAAGAAGAAAAAGAAGAAAAAAAGAAAAAGAAGAAAAAGAAGAAGGUAGUGGGACCAUGUUAGAGCCAAUUUUCGGAAUAUCACCGAUCUGGUGGUUGGUGUUAUACGCUGGUUUGCUGUUAUUACUAUCACCAUUGGUCCUGUUGCUGAUAGUUUUUCUGCCAAAUUUCCCGCUAUUGCUUUUACGUAGAAUGUGUUAUAUACCAAUGGAAUCGAUAUAACGAAUUCGUCGAUAAAAGAAAUUCGAAGGAAAAAAUAACAAAAAAAAAAAAAAAAGAAUAUUUUCAAAGACGAAAUAUGAAAUUUUUCAAGUAUUAUAUAUUAAAAUAUUAUGAGCAUUAUCGAUCAAUAAUUUGAUAGAUUUGACAAAUUGCUAACUUUGCGUUGGUUUAUUUUACAUGGAAGAUCAUUUAUAUUGAUCUCGUUAAGAGAGAAAAUGAUAGAUGUAGGAAGUAUAUCUCUGAUUCGGAUUAAACGUUUUAACGAAUUUAUAUACGAAAAUAUUUCGGCGUAUUUAUUACGACGCAAGAUUUAGUAUUUUAGUUUCGUGUAAUACAUUUUCUUUUUCUUUUUCGAUACCAUUCCAACUCCGAAUAUUGUUCUAUAGCAUGUAAUUUUCUUGAUAUUUCCGAUAAAAAGAAAAACUGGCGAAGAAAAUCAAAUUGCAAAUGUCGAAAGAUCAAAAUGCAGAUACGAUUAUACAUCAGCUUUUAAUGUACGUAGUAAUGAUGUCUAUGUAGAGUUAUUUAAUGAAGAAAUCGUACGAUUACUAUGUAA